rnacentral:snoRNA from 1 species
UCCCUUCGGAUUCCUUGUCCCUCAGAUCUAAAUAUUGGUUUGAGUGGCUGAAAAGAAGGAAAAGCAAAACUGAAAUAGACUUGGAGUCUUUAAUAACUUACAAGUUCUUUUCAAACAUAG